AACAACUUUUGACUGUAUAUUAUUAGAAAAGACAUUUUGUCUUUAUAGGAUAAUGUUUGAAUCCUCUGAUCAAAUCUUCAUAGCUCUCCACUAGAUGGAUAGAAGGAAUUGUUGACAUGAAUUAAACAAAGGACUUUUCAUUUCAAAGAGCAGGGCCAGAUUGAAACACAGUUGACCUAGGUAGUUACCAGGAUACAUAAAGGUAUGUGAAGACAAAGUGGAGCAUUAUUUGGUCACUAGUAAAGUAUCGAAAACCAAUGAAUGUUUGUUUUGUAUGUGGGCAUUUGACUGCAUGCUAAGUUAUGCAAAUAACAGGAAAAAUAUAAAGCACUCAAAAACCUGGAAAUGAUCAUUAUGAUAUUUUUAGACAAAGUUGACAUAAGGAAUUCAUAAUUUCAAUUAUUGUUUAAUUCCUGUUAAAUAGUUAUUAAAUAAUAAUACAUCUGCAUGA